rnacentral:rRNA from 1 species
UACAGAGGGUGCAAGCGUUAAUCGGAAUUACUGGGCGUAAAGCGCGCGUAGGCGGUUGUGUAAGUUGGAUGUGAAAUCCCCGGGCUUAACCUGGGAAUGGCAUUUGGGACUGCAAGGCUUGAGUGCGGCAGAGGAGACUGGAAUUCCUGGUGUAGCAGUGAAAUGCGUAGAUAUCAGGAGGAAUACCGAUGGCGAAGGCAGGUCUCUGGGCUGACACUGACGCUCAUGCACGAAAGCGUGGGGAGCAAACAGG